rnacentral:rRNA from 1 species
AUCCUACGGGACGCAGCAGUAGGGAAUCUUCCACAAUGGGCGAAAGCCUGAUGGAGCAACGCCGCGUGGGUGAAGAAGGUCUUCGGAUCGUAAAACCCUGUUGUUAGAGAAGAAAGUGCGUGAGAGUAACUGUUCACGUUUCGACGGUAUCUAACCAGAAAGCCACGGCUAACUACGUGCCAGCAGCCGCGGUAAUACGUAGGUGGCAAGCGUUAUCCGGAUUUACUGGGUGUAAAGGGCGUGUAGCCGGGUUGACAAGUCAGAUGUGAAAUCCGGCGGCUUAACCGCAGAGCUGCAUUGGAAAC